AGCUUUGUGUAGUGGCAGUAUCAUAGCCAAGCAAGUUUAUCCAAGGUGUGAUUAUUGCUAUUAUAAAUGGGUAAAAUUCAUUUCAAGAAUGCAUUUUUGAGCCUACAUGUGCA
rnacentral:snRNA from 1 species